GGGUCAGUAGGUUGGUCGUGCCACCGGUACGUUCUGGUAUCACUGAUUCCUCCUUCCUGAAGAACCGUAACGCCAUUAAUUUGGUGUUGCGGGGAAACAGGACUGUUACUUUGAAAAAAUUAGAGUGUUUAAAGCAAGCUAACGCUUGAAUACAUUAGCAUGGAAUAAUGAAAUAGGACGAUCGAUCCUAUUUUGUUGGUUUCUAGGAUCGACGUA
rnacentral:rRNA from 1 species